rnacentral:rRNA from 1 species
GACGAACGCUGGCGGCGUGCUUAACACAUGCAAGUCGAACGAAGUGGCGAACGGGUGAGUAAUACGUGGGUAACCUGCCCUCCUUUUUGGGAUAAGCCUUGGAAACGGGGUCUAAUACCGAAUAAAGGGGGAUGGGCUCGCGGCCUAUCAGCUUGUUGGUGGGGUGAUGGCCUACCAAGGCGGUGACGGGUAGCCGGCCGGAGAGGGUGACCGGCCACAUUGUGGCUGGGGGCCGGCCCAGACGCCUACGGGGGGGAGCGGUGGGGGAUAUUGCACAAUGGGCGAAGGCCUGAUGCGGCGACGCCGCGUGGGGGAUGAAGGGUUGCGGGUUGUAAACCUCUUUCGCUAGCAAACGGGGAGGUGGAGAAUAAGCGCCGUCUAACUACGUGCCAGCAGCCGCGGUAAUAC